CGACUGGCGGCGUGCCUAACACAUGCAAGUCGAACGGAGUUUACUCGCUGAUGAAGCUUCGGCAGAAUCUUGAGUAAACUAGUGGCGGACGGGUGAGUAACGCGUGGGCAACCUGCCUCAUACUGGGGGAUAGCAGUUGGAAACGACUGAUAAUACCGCAUAAGCGCACGAGAUCGCAUGAUCUAGUGUGAAAAACUCCGGUGGUAUGAGAUGGGCCCGCGUCAGAUUAGCUAGUUGGUAAGGUAACGGCUUACCAAGGCGACGAUCUGUAGCCGGACUGAGAGGUCGGACGGCCACAUUGGGACUGAGACACGGCCCAAACUCCUACGGGAGGCAGCAGUGGGGGAUAUUGCACAAUGGAGGAAACUCUGAUGCAGCGACGCCGCGUGAGUGAAAGAAGUAUUUCGGUAUGUAGAGCUCUAUCAGCAGGGAAGAAAGGCUCGUAAGAGAGAUGACGGUACCUGACUAAGAAGCCCCGGCUAACUACGUGCCAGCAGCAGC
rnacentral:rRNA from 1 species